CUGUUGCGGGCAGCGGCGGGCAGAGGCCGGGGGACAUCGCGGUGAGCCCCGGAACCACGUCCCGCCAUGAGACGGGCAGAGGGGCUCAGCCCAGAGGCGGAGAAGCGGAGCAGCUGCCAGAUGCGCCCAAGGGACCCCCAUCGCCCCCAAGCUGGAGGGAGCCGAUGGCCGAGCCCACCCGCCCCACCAGCGAGCCAGGGCUGCCGGGCUCCGCCAGCCCGAGCCAGACACGUCGUCUUCGAGGAUGAGGUGAUGUCACUGGGGAGACCCCCGGGGAGGGUCCCCCCUGCCGCAGACGGGGAGAAGACGGGGGCCAGGUCCGUCCCCCCCGGGCUGGCACCCCGGCCACGCGCUGUCCCGGACUACGUGGUGCAGCGCCCGGGCUCUCCCUCCCGCACCCUGAGCCUCGUGGCCUCGUGGCGGUGCAGAAAGUACCCGGCGAUCCGGAGUCCCCGGCAGUGGGAGGGCUACAAGGGCGUCUUCCAGGACCAGCUGGCGGAAUACACGGAGCUGCUCGGGGAGCUCCGCGCCGCGCGGCGGAGGUUCGGGGAGCUGGAGGCAGCGAUGGGCCAGCGGCCCCGGCACGCCGGGAGCAGGACGGUGGGUCCCUCGGCAGAUGCCGUACGGCUUGCAAGCGGCGUUGGGUGUGAUGAGUUGGCUGGUCUCUGCAGGGACUCGGGAUGAGCCUGGGGGGCUGCAGCGGGUGGGGGGGACUGGAGGGGACGUGGGGACACCCGGGUUCCUGCAGCUGAGAGGUGCGAGUCGUACCCAAAGGCACCCAGCAGCGGCUGGGAAAUUAAUGAGCAGCAGCAUUUCUCAGCUACGCCCUGGGCGAGGUUUUCGCCGUGCAGCGCGGGAGGAAGGCUGGCUGCCCUCGAGCCCCCCAGGCUCGUUAGCUCCCGCUGCCUCGUUAGGGCCAGGCUGAGCCCCCGGGGGCUCCGGGCUGUGUCUUUCGGCCCCACAGGAUGGGAGCAGGGUGGCCCAUGUCUGGCACAAGUACGUGAGGAAGAAGAGGGAUUCGGCCCUCCUGGAGAAGCAGCAGCGCUGCGAAUACCUGAAGAAGAAGCUGACGCACAUCAAGGCGCGGAUCCAGGAGUAUGACCGCGACGCCCGCGACAGCGCCGUCUACUUCUGAGCCUGCGCACCGGCCG